UAAUACCGGAUAGAUCAAAGAUACUGGAAUGUUCCUUGAUCCAAAGCUCCGGCGUCCAAGGAUGGAUCUGCGGCUUAUCAGGUAGUAGUGGGUGUAACGUACCUACUAGCCUACGACGAGUACGGGUUGUGAGAGCAAGAGCCCGGAAAUGGAUUCUGAGACAUGAAUCCAGGCCCUACGGGGCGCAGCAGGCGCGAAAUCUUUACAAUGCAGGAAACUGCGAUAAGGGGACCCCGAGUGCCAGCAUCUAAUGCUGGCUGUCCAGCUGUGUAAAUAGCAGUUGUUAGCAAGGGCCGGGCAAGACCGGUGCCAGCCGCCGCGGUAACACCGGCGGCCCGAGUGGUAACCGAUUUUAUUGGGUUUAAAGGGUCCGUAGCCGGCCUGUUAAGUCUCUUGGGAAAUCUGGCGGCUCAAUCGUCAGGCGUUC
rnacentral:rRNA from 1 species